rnacentral:rRNA from 1 species
CAAUAGCGUAUAUUAAAGUUGUUGCAGUUAAAAAGCUCGUAGUUGGAUUUCUGUCAAGAGCAAGCGGUCCGCUCCUUUGGAGUGUGUACUUGCGUCGUUUUUGACUUUCUUCUGAACCUUGCUGUUUCCCCUUCAUUGGGUGAGGCAGUUUGGCAGAACCUUUACUUUGAGAAAAUUAGAGUGUUUCAAGCAGGCUAGCGCCUUGAAUACUGCAGCAUGGAAUAAUAAGAUAGGAUUUCAGUUCUAUUUUAUUGGUUCUAAGGACUGAAAUAAUGAUUAAUAGGGACAGUUGGGGGCAUUCGUAUUUAACUGUCAGAGGUGAAAUCCUUAGAUUUGUUAAAGACGAACUACUGCGAAAGCAUUUGCCAAGGAUGUUUUCAUUAA